AACAAGCGCUGGCGGCGUGCCUAACACAUGCAAGUCGUACGAGAAAGGGUCCUUCGGGGCCUGAGUAAAGUGGCGCACGGGUGAGUGACGCGUGGAUAAUCUGCCCUUCAGUUGGGAAUAACUCAUCGAAAGGUGGGCUAACACCGAAUAAUGCUGUGAGACCUCGGUUGAUCAGCCAAAGAGAGCCUCUGCUUGCAAGCCCUCGCUGAAGGAUGAGUCCGCGUACCAUUAGCUAGUUGGUAGGGUAAUGGCCUACCAAGGCGACGAUGGUUAGCUGGUCUGAGAGGAUGAUCAGCCACACUGGAACUGAGACACGGUCCAGACUCCUACGGGAGGCAGCAGUGAGGAAUCUUGCGCAAUGGGGGCAACCCUGACGCAGCAACGCCGCGUGAGUGAGGAAGGUCUUCGGAUCGUAAAGCUCUGUCGGAUGGAAAGAACCGCAUAGGGGUAAACAGCCCCUGUGUCUGACGGUACCAUCAAAGGAAGCACCGGCUAACUCCGUGCCAGCCGCCGCGGUAAAAC
rnacentral:rRNA from 1 species